GAAAGCGGAGAUGAAGGGGAGAGGAAGGUGACCGUUGUUCUAGACAUAAUUCUGCUGUGACUAAGAUGGCUCCUUAGGCAUCAUUCCAACCUUCGGAGAAUCAUCAUGUCUGUCUGGUUUAUGGUGGAUGACCAGACUCUUUAUCACAGGUUGACUGUUGACCUAAAUGUCAGGGUUAGAGAAGAAGAUGGAGACCACUCUCACGUCUUUGCGUUAAGGACAGAGCUAGAGCCAGGAAGCAUACUACUAACUUAGCAUAAAUACUGGGAAAGAGAAGUACUUGGCGGUUGGACAUACUCUUAUUCAUACAGAAACACCGCGUAACUCGCUAAAAUAUCUCAAGAACUAUCAGAUGGAUUGUCCUGAUAUUUGGAACAGAUAUCCAAGAUGUCCAGAAGAUCCUAAUAACUUUGAUGAUCCCUGAUUUUUCAUCUGGCGGCAUCAUCAGAUCAUAAGUUUGUCAGAUUAUUUGGUUUAUGACCAAAUAUCUGCUAUUGACAUCCCUAGUGCUAAUUAAUACAUGUUAGCAUGCUAAACUAAGAUGGUAAACAAACUAAACAUUACACUUGCUUAACAUCGGGAUGUUAGCAUUGUCAUUUUGAGCAUGUUAGCAUGUCGACUUUAGCAUUUAGCUCAAAGUGCUGCUGUGACUAAGUACAGCCUCACAGAGCCGGAACAGCUAGCAUGGCUGUAGACUCAGACUCUUGUUUCUUUACUGUUUGUGUAUAGUUUAAGGCAUCAGUCAUCCACCACAUUUUUCUGACGUUAACAAUUGACUUCUCCGAAACAGACAAUUCAACAAUCACUCUUACAUCAAACAGUGAUUAGCCAGGUGUGUGGGUGAGAAAGGAAGCAGGGUUUGAACUUUUGAACUCUCUUUAGCUCUCCAUAGUUGUGCUUGUAAAAUGAAGAGAAUAGAUCUAAAGUAAAAAAUAGGCUUCUGGUUGCGUUAACACAUUCAUAGCACGAGUGAAACGCAAACCUAUAUGCUUAUUUCAGGCACAUCAGUUCUUUCAGACACCUGAAACAAAUGACUGAAUAGCGCAAUUGAAACGCCUCCUGUGUAGAAACACCGUUAGAAGAGGGAUUGUCUGAAAAUGUUACUCCUAUUUUUGAACAAUUAUCACGUCUCUCCCCACUCAGUGAAGGCAGGUUUUUCACCUUGCCUUAGAGUGUAGUCGUUUAGAACUGCUUUUUCCUUCAGAUGUGGUCAGACGACAUGUAGUACAAACAUGCCAUCAUGAAAUGAAAAAAGUUCAUUUCGAGCACACCCUGACCUUUAGAAAAAACAGGAUAUAACCAGUUAAUUAGUGAUCUUUAGAAGUGCUGGGAGAUGCAUUUUUUUUUUUUUUUACUUUGGGGAGACCCAGGCUAGCUGUUUACCCCUGCUUUCAGGCUUAAUGCUAAAGUACGCUAAUCACCUACCCACUCCAUACCCUGUGACCACCCACACAGGUGACUUCACUUAUUUCAACUGAUUAGACCAUUUCUCAGGGCUGUGUGGGGACGUACACAGUAGGUUUAUGGUCAGUAGAUGUCGCCCAUGUUGUUGCUGUAUUUACCCACAUUUUAUUGUCAGGCAUUUAUUUGGAUGUUUUUUUUUAAAAUUCCAAUACCUGUAUCUGCACCUUAAUGGAUAUCUGCUAUGUUCUUCAGUGUCAGUUCGACGGUUUUCUUGGCAUCAUCAUGCAGGCUGUAUUUAUUGUUUUAAAACAUCUAUGCUCUCUAGAACAAGAAGUUUUAAUCGCAUUAACACAUUUCCCUAUGAAUAAAGGAAAACAAAGCAGAAGUACUUGCAGUCAACCCACAGGAAGUGACAAAUCAGAUUUCUGGUGGUUUUUUUGUUUGUUUGUUUGUUUAUUUGUUUUUUUUACCUGCAAAAGAGCAUUCCAUCCUGAUAAAGGCUGAAUAACAACUGA